UACAGAUAUCAGUGAAUGAUUGUAGAUUUUUAUUACAAUUUUUAAGGUGUUCCUACAAUUCCACAUCAAAUCAUUUAAGUCUACCAUAUAUACUGUCUCCUUUUAUAGAUUACAUGAAAUUUGUAAAAGUUAUAGGACUUACCUAUACUAUUAGUACUGAACAAUAUAAUUUUUUUAAUAACCUGACUUCGACUUGAGUGAUUUCAAUGUUUUGCCUGAAAAAAUGUUGCACAUUAUUGAAAUAUAUUAUCUGUGUGAUCCACAACAUUAAUAGCUAUAAAAAAGAGAAAGACUAAGACGUACAUUCAAUAUUAAAUACGUUAUCAUAUGAAAAAUAGCAUUUUUGGAUAGCUGUAUAUCUCUGACCUCAUUAAUGCUACCAGUUCUCCGUAACACCAUUGUUCACCUUAUAGAAUAGGAUAAAAAUGAUUCCUUUAUAAGAAACUUUAAUCAAUUUUCAAAUUAAUUAAAUGCUCUGGGAUAAAGGCCUUCCUUAAGUCCACCUUUGAGAGUACUUGAAGUAU